UACGAAGGGGGCGAGCGUUGUUCGGAUUUACUGGGCGUAAAGGGCGCGCAGGCGGCUCAUUUUGUCAGGCGUGAAAGCCCCGGGCUUAACCUGGGAACUGCGUUUGAUACGGAUGGGCUAGAGUUCGGGAGAGGAGAGUGGAAUUCCCAGUGUAGAGGUGAAAUUCGUAGAUAUUGGGAAGAACACCGAUGGCGAAGGCGGCUCUCUGGACCGAUACUGACGCUGAGGCGCGAAAGCGUGGGGAGCAAACAGG
rnacentral:rRNA from 1 species